rnacentral:ncRNA from 1 species
CGGUUGAGAGGGCUGCCAAUGCGGUCCGCUGGGUGAAUACCCACUCGGCUG